ACGUAUGGACCGAGCGUUGUCCGGAAUCAUUGGGCGUAAAGGGUACGUAGGCGGCCUAGUAAGUUAGAAGUGAAAUAAUAUAGCUCAACUAUAUAAAGCUUUUAAAACUGUUAGGCUUGAGAGAUGAAAGGGAAAGUGGAAUUCCUAGUGUAGCGGUGAAAUGCGCAGAUAUUAGGAAGAAUACCGGUGGCGAAGGCGACUUUCUGGUCAUCAUCUGACGCUGAGGUACGAAAGCGUGGGUAGCAAACAG
rnacentral:rRNA from 1 species